ACCAAGGAGUUUAUCGUGUACGCAAGUCAUUGGGUGAAUAAAACCCAAAGGCGAAAUAAAAGUAAAGAGUUGAGUUUAUGAAAAAGAAUUUAUUUCUUUCUUCAUUUCUCUCUUAAGGGAAGAUGAAAAUUUGAUUAAUAAUAUAUUUAUAUAUUGUUAAUUUAAAUUUUUCGCACUCCCAGGGCGCUUGUUUCACGCUUUGCGUGUCAAUGCGCACCUAGAGCGUACACGCUGAUACCCGAAAGAUGGUGAACUAUGCCUGGCCAGGACGAAGCCAGGGGAAACCCUGGUGGAGGUCCGCAGCGAUUCUGACGUGCAAAUCGAUCGUCGGAGCUGGGUAUAGGGGCGAAAGACCAAUCGAACCAUCUAGUAGCUGGUUCCCUCUGAAGUUUCCCUCAGGAUAGCUUGCGCUCGGUUGAGAAGAGUCUCAUCCGGUAGAGCGAAUGAUUAGAGGCAUUGGGGUCGAAACGACCUCAACCUAUUCUCAAACUCCAAAUAGAUGAGACCCCCGGCUU
rnacentral:rRNA from 1 species